rnacentral:rRNA from 1 species
CAGCCCACCCCCGUAAACGAGCAGUCCAAGUGGUACCCACGAAUAUUGGGCUUAAAGCGCUCGUAGCCGGUUAAGUAAGUCCUUAGUGAAAGUCCAAGGCUUAACCUUGGGAAGUGCUAAGGAAACUGCUCAGCUAGGGGACGGAAGGAGUCACGGGUACUCUUAGGGUAGCGGUAAAAUGCUGUAAUCCUAAGGGGACCAACGGUAGCGAAAGCGCGUGACUAGGACGUGCCCGACGGUGAGGGGCGAAGGCCAGGGGAGCGACCCGGAUUAGAUACCCGGUUAGUCCUGGCUGUAAAUUAUGCGAAUUAGGUACGCCGUGGCCCACGAGGCUACGGGAUGCCGUAGGGAAACCGUUAAAUUCGCCGCCUGGGGAGUACGGUCGCAAGGCUGAAACUUAAAGGAAUUGGGG